rnacentral:lncRNA from 1 species
CCAGUCCACUCACCGCCGCCGCCAAAGCAAGUCCACCACUCACCACCGCCGCCAAAGCCAGUCCACCACCACCCACCGCCUCCUCCUGCCCCGCAGCCGCAUCCAAUGUGCCCCCCGCCGCCGCCCUGCACCUGUCCGCCACCAGCAUUGCCACCGCCGCCACCCUAUUACCCCGGCACAUUGCCACCUGUGUCCCGUGCAGAAUAUGGAUCACCACCACCGCCACCCUAUAACCCCGACCCAUUGCCACCCGUCACCUGGGCAGAAUAUGGAUCACCGCCACCGCCUUCACGGCAGUGAUGCACAUAGAUUCUCCAAAAAAGAAAAACAUCAUCUGAAGGAAGACAUGGUUUUGCUCUCCCUCCUUACCUCUGUCCAUGGAUGGCAAGCUCACCAAUUUACGUAGUCAUUGUCAUGCUUAGCUGCUAGUGUUCUUGAUCGAUGGCUACCGCCGCGAAGACUUAGUUGCAAGGUGGGCGGAAUUUUCUGGAUUAUGAUUUGUCGCCUGCGCAUCCAGACGAUUUGUGCUGUGGUGUUGAAAGGGAUUGGAGAAUAGGCUGCAGAUUGAAGGCAAAUUUGGUUGUGAAUAAUAAGAGUUUGAGAGGGACAGAAGAGGAUUUGUGAGUGAGUGAGUGAGUGGAUUGUAGGUGCAGCAGGGAUAUAGUAUGUGUGGGGUGUAUAGAGAGAAGCAUGAGUUCAGUUCAAUUUAGCUAAAUUCAGUCAGACAUAAGUUUAGAACAAGAGAUUUUCAGGGUGUUUUCUCUUCCUUUUGCAUCCCAGUUACUUCUUGGUUAUUCGAUUAUUGUAUUUUUUAGUCAGCAUUUCUUAGCUUUCUUCUUAUGCUAAGUGUUUUAACCCGAUCACUUUGACGAAUUGUCUCAUGUCUUUCCUAUUCCUCUGAUGUGUUUCCAGAGUAGAAAUAUUGGAAACAUAUUCUGCUCUGAAUAAUUAGGGGAAAACACCUGCUGUUAUGGUUCUGAGACAUGGUUCAGCUGAUAGUGAUAGGCACUGUGAGGAUUUAGCCUGUGCCGUCGAACUUCAUUCGGAAAAUUAUUCUAAUGCCCCUUCUGUAUCAAAAUUCUAGAAUUCGUCUAAUACUUCCUCUGUAUCAAAAUGUAACAAGUUUUCUGACACUGCAUAGUGUUAAAAAACGUACUGUCCCCAAGUCCUACGUUUAUGAGUGUCCUGCAUCUGAGUUCCUUUUCAUUUGCCCUGCCUACUGUAGCAGGAUGUUAGAACUAUAUAGAUGUAAAUUUGCACAGUAACUUUGCAAGCAUAUUACUCACGAGAGAAUCUACGAAAGCCGCUGAAGUACGUACGAUGACUAGAUCGGUGCAACUUUGCCCGUAUCCUUUUUUCUUGAUAAGGCAUGGUCGAGGUGCUGGUGAGAUCUGGCGCUCCUGCCACGUGCUCGCUUGCUUCAGAAGAAUCCUGCCAGGAGCACCAUUUUUCUUUUCUUCCUCCCAAGAAACAUACUCCACGCCCUGUGUUCUGCAGGCAGCAGCAGCUGCUAUGUUUAUCCUCAUUGUUUACUUCAAGUCUGCAAUCCUGUUGUUAACUCUUUUGAUUAGAUUCAUUUGCUGGUCUUGGAAGGAAAGGGGCAGAGAAGGACAGCCUGAGAUUCCAAUCCGAAUUAUUUUACUGUCUUGACCGUUGUCUGCUUGCCCUUUGUGGCCAAAAGCUUGUGACUGCGAUUGUUAACUAAUUAACCUUUUGCUUUCGGAGCAACGCUCUCUUUGGUAAGUUUUUAUACUGUUAAUUUUCUCCUGGAAGCUCGUAGGACGCCUUGACUGGUGAGUGCUAGUGCUAUGUUCUAUGUGCCACCACACUACACUAGUACACACAUUGGUCGACCGGCCAGCAGCAUUUGGUUCUUUUGAGAGGAAAAAAGAAAGGCCAUCAUGGUCUGAUACCGCACCCCUUUGCGUCCGGGACGACCGUUGCGCGCCUUUUGCUGGUUUUGAUCAUGGCUGCUCUUUUGAUCGCAUCAUUACAGCGCUCACUGGCCGUUUGGAUUGAAACGAGGGUUUACAUUGUCCAUUGGUUUCCUGUGUUCUAAAAUAUUUCAUUUCGUCCGAAUGUAAGAGCAUAUUCAGCCGUUCACACCCUCACAGAGGUUAGAAAAAAGCGCCGCUUGGGGGUGAACCGACGAUAUUUUCGGCGUGGGGCGAUCGGGUUACAAGCCGCCGCCCCCAGACGCCCUUUUUGUAAAUAUUUUUAAAAACAUAUUCGGCCAAAAUUCGGCAAACACGACAUAGAUUCGGCGAUAUUUAGACGUUUCACAGGUUUUUACAUAUAGAAAACAUAUAAUCUACUAAAAGAAGAAAACAAAGGGUUGCUGCCGCGCCUACAGGUCGAAGAACUUGCUGAAGGCGUCGUAUAGUCGCCGCCGUCGUCCUCUUCCUUCUCCUUCACACCAUGGGCGUCACUGCUGGAACCCUGCCUGGGGUCGCCCUGGCGGACUGGUUUGGCCGGGGCGACGCCUCGUCGUCGUUGUCCUCGAGGACGACGACGCCUCCCUCGUCACAGCCACGGCGCCGUGCGGUGAUUUCGUCUAGGGCGCGGCGUUGACGCUCCAUCUCCAGCCGCGCCCAGUCCUCCUGCGCCCACUUCAUGACGGUCUCGUCGUCGAGUGCGGCCACGUCAGCGUGCUCACUCUUCACGAGGGCGAGCCCCGGCUCCAUCUUCAGCUUGACGCGGCGGGAGGUGCUCGAGGAGGCGCGGCCGCCCUCGCUGAUGACGAGGGCGGCGCCGCGGGUGCUCCGGCCGAGUGGCGUUUCCAUGGGCUCGGCCUUGACGCUGACGAGCGCCGGCAACCCGGAGGAGUGGUAGGAGGAUCAGGAGGAGGAGGAGGACCCGCUUAGCAUGCGCCUCGGUAGCCACGGGCCGCCGCUUCGGCGGGGGGCCGGGGCUGCCGGGUACUCGAGCGGUGGAUCGUUGCCGCCCUCGAGGUACUUGAGGACAGCGUGGAGCGUGCAUCCCGGGGCACCCCACCACAGGCGGCGGUCGUCGCUGUUGUUGCUUCCCCUUACCACCGGUGCGUUGUUGAUGGAGGCGAGCUGCUCCGCCUGACGACGUUCGAAGUAGCCGCCCACUCCUCGUGGUUGCCGGUGUCGUACUCCGGGAGGUCCCGUUCCUCCUCCGACAGAGAGGCCCGCACACGCUCGAUCUCAGCGUGGAAGUAGCCGAGGUGUCGGGUGGUAGGUGCGACAUAUGCCAACGGGUGGCUUAUCAUUGUGGGAGCCAGUAAGACGUCGCCGGUGCCUGGAAGCGGGAUGAGGCGAAGACAUGCGCGCCGGCGAAUCUUACCCAGCUUCGGGGCUCUCCGAGGAGAUAACACCUCUACUGCUGCUCUGCGGGGUCUCCGCAUGAUCACUAGAUGAACGAGUGGCUACAAGAUGCUCCUUGAGCUGUUUGGCGAGAGGAAGAAGAAGGGCACGGCUAGCUCUCCUCUCCUCUCUAUGUGGUGUCUAAUACUAGCUCAGAUCAACCCUUUGCAUGGGUGCCCCGGGGGGUUUAUAUAGGCUCACCCCCCGGGGGUACAAUGGUAAUCCGGCUGGGCGUGGGCCCCGGCCGUCUGUGUCUACGCUCGCCGACUUCUGCGCCGGCUGCUGGGUCCCGCCGGCUGCCGGCUCCUUGGUCGAUAGGCAGGCCCCACUGUCCAGGGCCUUGUCGGUGGCUGGUUGCUGUAGCUUCAACCUGGUGACGAGGGCUUCGCCGAGGUGGGCGUGGCUACAGUGCCGCCGCCCGGCGGGCGAUCGCUGUAGCCUCACUGCGUCUUGUCUCCUUAAUGGGGCAUUUACUUCGAGGGAGGAGGCGAGCCGGCCGUGGGGAGCCGGGCCCGUCUUGGGCCGACUAAGGGAGGCCUGGCCGCCUUCGGGUGUCUCUCUGCCUGAAGGGGCCCACCGCCCAUGGGCCACGCUGCCAGCCCGUCGUGGGUGACAUCAGGGCCAACAUGGCAACAGUGCCGCGUCGGACAGGUCAUGGCCACCCCGCACGACGCACUGUGCCAGGCGUGCUCCGGGAUUCGGGGGUGGCAGGCUUUACUGUAGCCACGCCCCGUCACAUCGCCGUUAUGUGGAUGCAGACUUCGAGGGUAGGAUCUUGAUCGCUUGGUGGGAGCCGGCCUCUUGGAGUCGGCCUUCUCGUGGCCGGCUUCUUGGAGCCGGCCCACCCGCGGCUUUCUUCAUGAGGGCUGAAGUCGGGCCGCCUUCUGAUAGUCGGCAUGGGAGACAGCUGGCAAGGGGAAGGCGGCCCCAUGUCUUGGAUUCUUGAGGGCCGGAUCGGCUCAUAAUUUUUUCAGAAGGGACAGGGGGAGCCGGCUAGGCUACCCGUGGUCAUUUACUCCGACAGUAUUCCCCGAAGCUGAUCGAGCUUCGAGGCUAACAAAGGGACGAGAAGCUUGGUCAGCUUCCUAUCCUGAGGAGCCGGCUUUGCUUAUGCGCGCCGUCUUCGGAAAGCUCCAUUUCUCGUAGGCGGGAACACGGGUCGGCCUGUGAGGUGACCGCACGCCAUCCCGCGGGCCACGUGGCAAGGAAAACCUGCCAACGCGCGUGCGCGAUGGGACGUCGCCGCAGGCCCGGGCCCGCCACUCCUAGGCCUCAGCCCGAGCGCGGAUCCUCUGCGGCCCACACGGACCGCUUGCCUUCCCGCGGCGGUUUUAUUACGCCAUCAGGGCGCAAUAAUCGCAGGACGUGGGGGAGUGGGCGCAGUUGAUCUCACGUUCCCCCACACCACGCCUCCUCGGCUCCGCCGCAUGGGUCUAUAAGUAGGGGGAGGAGGGGGAGCGGCAGAGGCUCGCACGCUCUCCCUUGCUCCGCCCCUUCUCGCCUUCCUUCUUCUUCCCUUCGCCGCCGCAGCGAUCCAUUGCCGCGCCGCUCCGCCGUCGGACCUCUCGGUUCCUUUGGUCCCGCCGUAGCGGGGUCGUGCGCGUCUCCGCCGUCGCAUCGUCUUGUUCCUCGCCGCGUCACUCCCAUGGCGUUGUCGAGCUCGUGGGAUGGCUCCAACGUCCACGAGGACCACGUUGAGUUCCUCCGCCGGACGCAGCGUCUGCCGGGCGAGAACUACGUGCGGGUUCGUCAGGCGCCGGCGAGGGAGAUUUUGCCGGCACUGGAGGAGGGCGAGCGGGUAAUCUUCCGCUCGCACUGCCUGCGCGGCUUCGGCCUCCCGGCGAGCGGAUUCCUUCGCGCUUUUCUUGAAUUCUACCACCUCCAGCCGCACCACCUCACGCCCAACGCAGUGAUGCUGCUGUCGGCUUUCGUCACCUUGUGCGAGGAAUUUCUUGGGGUUCUCCCCACUCUCGAGCUCUGGGGAGAAUUCUUCCAGAGCAAGCUCGGCACCGUUGUCGCGGGUGUGCCCGCCCCCUGCGGAGCCUUCAUUGCCAUGAGGCGGACGGGCGAGAACAAUCCGUUCCCGCCCAUCCCGCUGAUCCAGUCGGUGAAGCUCUGGCAGAAGUCCUAUUUUUACGUGAAGAACGUCGCCCAGCAAGGCGACUAUGUCAACCUGCCGGCUUACGUAGCCGGCCCGCCGGCUGGGAGGCAACCCUCAUGGAGCUACCGGGCCAGGUCGUUGUCUCAGGCCGGGAACGCAGCCGUCUCCCGGCUUCGGGUGAUGAUCCAGUCGGAGGGCCUGACCGGAGCCGACCUGGUGGCCGCCUUCGUGGAGCGCCGAGUACUUCCGCUCCAAGGCCGGCCUCACAUGAUUUGCCAGAUGAGCGGCCGCUUCGACCCCUGCCAGCUGAGCACUAGGGAGAUGCCUCAUGCCGAGGUGUCUUACAUGGUGAACUACAUCUCCAACUGCAAGCUCGCCGAGGAUUGAUGAUACGGCAAGGGGCCGUAUUCUCGCGCCAACCCUCCGCCUGCCGUAAGUUUUUCUUCUUUUCUUCCUUUUUGUAGCCGGCCUCGUGAUGGCCGACUUCUGAUCAAUUGGUUUGCCCUUAGCAGAACCCUCUUCUUCCGCCGACGGUCGGGGCCACAGGGGUAGAGCGCCAGCUCCUCCCCGACCGCACGGUGGACGACGUCGACGAUCCGGACCUGGGAGCGGCUGCCAUGGAAGACGCCAUCAUGGGGGAAGGCGACGAGGCAGGAGGCGCGGGGCUCGGGGCCGGCCUCGAGGACUGGGCGGACGAUGACGAGGUCGAAGCCGCCCGGCACCGCCAGCCGGCGCUUGAUCAUCAAGGCGCGGGCCCGUCUGCCGGGCCGGCUGCCCAUGGUGGUGCGCAGAAACGCCGGGCCGCGUCGACCUUCUUCGGCAGCCGGCCAAAGAAAUCCAAGGCUUCCAUGGCGGCGACCAAGAGGGAUGAGGCGGCCGUGAAGGCGGCCCGCUUCCGCAAGGCGGUGAAACAGCCGCAGGCGAUCUCGGCGUAAGUCGUCAAAUGUCUUGUAUUUUUUUUGUGUUGUCCUCUUGGAUUGAAGCUCUUCUAAACCUUUCUUUGCUCGCCGGGCAGGGCACCGCUUUCCCUCGAGCGAGGUCCUGGCGGCUCCGUAGUUGGACCGACUGGAGGGUCCUCAGGCUCCCGCCACGUGGAUCCCCGCGCCGACCUCAUGGAGGCCACGGAGCGGAACGCACGGGAGGUGUGGGAGGAGCGGGAGGCGGUGGAGCGAAGGACCGCCCAGGCGGCGAAGGAGCAGGCCGACGCGGCGGCCAAGGCCCGGGCGGAGGCGGCAGCCACGGAGACGGAGGCGGAGGCCUCGCACAACUAGCCCCCGCUGCUCGUCGUUCCCCUCCGCGCCGUGGCCCCCGACAUCCCCGUGCCCCCGUCGGAGGAGGUCGACCAAGACCCGCCGGUGAUGGAGAGGAGGGAGGGCCACGUGGUCUUCGUGGAGGAGGCACCGCAGACGGCACCGACUGGAGCGGGCCAAAGCGGCUAACCAGCCGUGGCGCCAGAGCAGCCGGCCGGGGGCGACCGGAGGCAGGGGCCGGCCUCGAGGUGUAGCCGGCAUUGCAGCAACGCGCAGGGGGAGGUACCUCCGCGCCGGAGCCACACUGAGCUGCGGGCGCUAGCCAGACGACGGAGGCCCUGGAGGCGGCCAGCGCCAGCACGUCCGAGUGGACUCCCAGCGGGGGGACAGGCGAGCUGAACGCGGCGGCCCAGGAGGUCCGGAACCGGCUUCAAGCCCAGGCCGCUUCGCUGCAGCGAUAUACCCAACAGUUCCUCGCGACGCGGGCCAUCAUCCGGGUGAGCCCUCUGGCCUUGGUUGUUUUGCUUUUUUCUUUUCUUCCGUGGGGGUGCGUCAGCACACCCACUGGGUGUAGUCCCCGAGUUACGAGUCGGCUGCUGAGCAGGUGGCUUGGAACUUACUAGGUCCUGACAGCUAUCUUAUUCUUUCCUCCUGUCUGAUCUUCCAGGAGUACCAUAACCUCCGCGCUGCUGCCUUCAACUCCCAGGCUCAGGAGCUGGGCCGGAAAACCGAGGACCUGACCAGCAGGCAGAGUGCGUGCUUUGUUUCGUUCAUCUCCCGUGGGGGCGCGUCAGUGCACCCACUGGGUGUAGUCCCCGAGAUUCGGGCCGACUGCUGAGCAGUCGGGUCGGAUCUUCCUUGACGACUUCUUCCUUAUUGAUUUUUCCUUUGUCUUCAUGCUUGCAGGAGCCAAUGCCGACUUGAGGGGGUAGCUCAGCGGGGCCCAGGCCGCCCUUCGUGCCAAGGAAGCCGAGUACAACGCCUUGGUCCUGGAGCGUGACCGCCUGGCCAAGAAGUUGGCCGACCAGGAGGAGAGCCACAAGGCGGCCUUGAAGAAGGCGCAGGACAGCGAGGACGCCCUGAAGGCCGAGUUCGAGACCGAAGCGGCGGGCUGGGCUGAGGCAAAACAAGCGCUGAGCGAGGGCUUCUGCCGGAUUGAGGAUCUGAUCGAUGGUAAGCCACCUUCCUCACUCGUUGCUUGCCCCUUGCCCCCUGAUUUGUGUUCUGACUUGCGCUGCUUUUUGUUCUCUGUGCAGACUACUUCCCCGGCUACUCUGUCUUGGCCACCCAAACCAUCAAGGCCCAUCGCGAGGCACGCCGGCAGGCGGGGGCUGAAAUCGCGCCGGACGCGAGCCGGACGCUGGAGGAGCAACUCUUGGCGGUCCAAGCCCGGCUGCAGCCGGCCCACCGCAUGCUCCGCCGCCUCCAGCGCGCUGGGGCGCAGGUGUUGGCCACCCUCUGGCCAGGAGAAACGAUUCCCCGCACCCCGAGUUGGACUGCCGACUGCCUGGAGGUUGCGGUGGCCGCUUCGAGGCCUGGAAGGCAUCGGCGGCCCGGCUUGGAGCUUGGCGGGCGCUGCAGUUCAUUCGAGCCUGGUAUCCUGGGCUGAACCUGGACCAGCUGCGCACCUGGCGGCUGGAGGCCGACGAGGAGAUGGAGGAGGUGCGGCCGACUAUCGCUCAGCGUGCCUCGACGAUCGCCGAGUGCACUGACAUCAGCGUCUUUGCUCCUAAAAUAAAUGACGACGGUGUUGCCCAGCCGGAGGAAUGGUUCGGGCUGGAUCCGGCAGCGGGUGAGGACUCGGCAGAGGAGAUCGCUUCCAGCGAUGAAGGAGAAGACGACGAACGGGAGGAAGGCGAAGACGUCGAGCCGGCCAGUGAAGCGGCCAGCCAGCCCCAGCCUGACCGUGCCUCCAGCAACGAGGCGCGUGCUAGCGCGCCCUCUGCGGGAGGUGGUGAUCAUGACGAGGUUCGCCAGCCGGCCACUCCUCCAGCCAGCACUGCCGUCUCCACCGACCUGCCCGACUCGCCAGUCGCUCCCUUGGCUUAAUCUGUCGUCCUUGCUUUUCCUGCUUGUUACUCUUUGAACAAUUUUUGUUAAACUUGCGCAGUUCCACCCACUGGGGGUGUAUUCAAACUAUGUUGAAUGCUGGCCUUUCGAAGGCCUUUUGUGUAAGUAUGAUCGUGUGUGUGUUUGGCUUCCAUUCGUGUAUGCUUUUUAUCUUUAGGCUAUUUCCUUUGCCGCCUUCCCCUAGCUGCUGCCUUCCCAACCGGCAGCUGCUCUGCAGCCUGCGGCUAAGGAAGAACUUGGCUAUAUUUAUUAUUAUUAUUUUUGGGGAAGGCAAGUACUCGAGCUUUCUUAGAUUGAAGCUAGGUGAAUGGAAGCCGGCCGGCUGGCUACUCUGGUAGUCGGUCGGUGGUGGGAGAAAAACCAGCUUUUGUUAUAUUAGUCCGUUAGUCCCUAGCCGUUUUUCGUGUGGGCGUCCUUUCCUGCCUUUAACUCUUGCCAGCCGGACAGCCGGUUCUUCGAACUGCGACUUUUGGUAAGAGAAGGCUUGGGUGUCGGCACACUACUUGUCUGACCGCGGGUAGGACUUCUAAUAUAACUGAAGGCGGUCAGUCCCCAGGCCGACUAGUCGAACCCGGUGCCGGACGAAAAAAGUGAAUGUAAUGACAUGAUCAUAAGCAUGAUAUUCUUCAUUUAUAGAUAAAAGAUGGCAGCCCCCGAGCUCUCCUCGGGGGGCCUAUUGUCUCGUACUUAGUACAAAAGUUAGCGUGAUACAUACUGCAUUUCAACUGUAAAAUCUUCGGAGGAGGUUGGCGUUCCAUGGUCGUUCUGACUCUUGGCCGGAGUCGUCUCUCUUUCGUGCCUUCGGCUUCUGUGCGUCGAUUAGGUAGUAGGUGUCAUUUCCCAGCGCUCUGCUGAUGACGAAGGGGCCUUCCCAAGGGGCCGAAAGCUUGUGCUGGCCGGCUGUUCGCUGGAUCAGCCGGAGCACGAGGUCGCCCUCUUGGAAAGAUUUUGGUUUGACCUUCCAGCUGUGGUAGCGGCGCAAGCUCUGCUGGUAGAUGGCGGACCGGCCGAGGGCUAACAGCCGGCCUUCUUCCAGCAGGUCGACGCCGUCUUCUCGUGCUUCCUUGGCAUCCGCCUCUGUGUACAUGGUUACCCGAGGCGAGUCGAACUCGAUGUCGGUUGGGAUGACCGCCUCAGCACCAUACACGAGGAAGAAAGGAGUGAAGCCGGUUGACUUGUUUGGGGUAGUGCACAGACUCCAGAGGACGGCCGGCAGCCCAUCGAGCCAACAGCUGACCGAACGUUCCAGUGGUAUGACCAGUCGGGGCUUGAUGCCGGAAAGGAUGAGGCCGUUGGCUCGCUCGACUUGGCCGUUUGACUGCGGGUGGGCAACGGACGCUAAGUCCAACCAGAUGCCCUGCGUCGCGCAGAAACGUGCCAAAGCUCCUUUGGUGAAAUUCGUGCCGUUGUCGGUGAUGAUGCUAUGUGGCACGCCAUAGCGAGUUGUUAUAUCUGCGAUGAAUGUCACGGCAGUCGGCCCAUUCAGCUUCUUGAUUGGCUUUGCCUCAAUCCAUUUGGUGAAUUUGUCCACGGCGACAAGCAGAUGUGUCAUGCCGCCGCACGUCGUCUUGAAUGGGCCCACCAUGUCCAGUCCCCAAACAGCGAGGGGCCAAGUGAGGGGAAUGGUCUUGAGUGCCGAAGCCGGCAUGUGUUGCUUGGAGCUGAAGACUUGUCACCCUUUGCAAUGUUUAACUAACUCCUUGGCGUCAUCCAAGGCAGUUGGCCAAAAGAACCCAUGGCGGAAAGCUUUGGCGACGAGUGAUCUUGAGGCCGCAUGGUGGCCGCAUUCUCCUUGGUGGAUGUCUCUGAGGAUUGCAAUGCCCUUCUCUUGCUCGACGCAUCGUUGGAAGACUCCAGUGACGCUGCGCCUGACGAGCUCUCUAUUGACGAUUGUGUAUGCUCCGGCUCGGCGUUGGACUUGUCUUGCCUCUAUUUCAUCAGCCGGCAGAUCUUGGUUUAUUAGGAAGUUAAGGAUGGACUGAGCCCAUGAUGGAGCUGCGACUUCUUCUAUUGCCAACACGGCUACUGCGACCAGGGCGGGCGAGCUGGGUGGUGAAAUGCUGGAGUCGGCCGCCGCCUGUUGCGUUGGUGCAGUCCCCGGGCCGACUACCGCAGUCCCCGAGUCGGGUGUGGCAGUCCCCGGGUUGGGCGUAACUAUGGAAGUCCCUGAGCCGCUUACUGACGUCCCCGGGCCGACUAUCGAAGUCUCCGGGUCACCUGCUGGGUUCUUCGAGCCGGACCCGGCCGCGUCGGGGUCAGGCGGCACGAAGAUGGAAUCGGACUCUGGAGACGGCUUGAUAGAAUGCUUGAGGAGGCGUUGCAGAGAGACACCGGUUGGUAUUGCCUGCCGAGUGGAGCCUAUUCGAGCCAGGGUAUCAGCUGGCUCGUUGUCGGCUCGCGGUACGUGGAGGAACUUGCAUCCUUCAAAGUACCCGCUGAUCUGCUGAACGAGGAAGCGGUAGCUUGCCAUAUUUGCGUCCUUGGCAUCCCAGUCACCGGAUGAUUGCUGGACUACCAAGUCCGAGUCGCCAUAACAUAGGAUCCGGCGUAUGCCGAGCUCUUUGGCAAGCCGGAGCCCGUGUAUGAGCGCCUCGUACUCGGCCACGUUGUUGGAGGCGGCAAAGUGAAUUUGCAGUGUGUAUCUGAGCUUGUCGCCUUUGGGAGAGGUGAGGAUGACUCCGGCUCCCAAGCCGGUGCGCAUCUUGGACCCGUCAAAGUGCAUGCGCCAAUGAGUGGAGUCAGGAGCUGGCAGUAGGUACUGGGUCUUGGCCCAGUCGACGAGGAAGUCGGCCAGUGCUUGGGACUUGAUGGCGGUGCGAGGCUGGUAGAAGAUCGUGUAGGGGGCCAGCUCGAUGGCCCAUUUCGCCACCCAGCCGGAUGCAUCCCGGUUGCCUAUGAUCUCGGCAAGCGGGGCGGUGCAUACGACCGUGAUGAGGUGCUCUUGGAAGUAGGGCUUUAGCUUCUUGGCGGCGAAGUACAUGCCAUAGCACAUCUUCUGGUAGUGCGGGUAGUUCUGCUUUGAGGUAGACAACACCUCGCUCAAAUAGUACACCGACCUCUGGACCGGCUGGGCUCGACCCUCUUCUGGGCGCUGGACUACGAUGACGGUGCUGACCACCCGACUGGUUGCAGCAAUGUAGAGGAGCAUGGGCUCUUUCUCAGUCGGUGCCGCCAGGACAGGCGGCGUGGCCAGCAUCUUCUUCAGCUCAUGAAAAGCUUGGUCGGCUUGGUCGUUCCACUCGAAGUGAGUGGUCUUCUUCAUGAGGCGGUAGAGGGGGAGAGCUUUCUCUCUGAGCCGGCUGAUGAAGAGGUUCAGGGAGGCCAAGCACCCGGUGAACUUCUGGACGUCUCGAAGUUUGGUGGGAAUCGCCAUUCUCUCAAUGGCCUUGAUCUUUAUUGGGUUGCAUUCAAUGCCGCGUUCGGAGACCAGGAAGCCUAGGAGCUGGCCGGCUGGCACUCCGAACACGCAUUUCUCGGGGUUGAGCUUGAUCUGGAACCGGUGCAGGUUUUCAAAUGUUUCCUUGAGGUCCUCCAGCAAGGUGUCGCGCUUCUCCGUCUUCACCACAAUGUCGUCUACGUAGACGUGGGCAUUUCUGCCUAGCUGCUUGAGGAGGCACUUCUGCAUGCAACACUGAAAAGUGGCACCGGCAUUUCUCAAGCCGAAUGUCAUAGUCAGGUAGCAGAAAGCUCCGAAUGGCGUGAUGAAGGCGGUCUUCAGGCGGUCAGCCGGAUCUAGCUUUAUCUGGUGGUAUCCUGAGUAAGCAUCCAAGAAACUCAACAGCUCGCAUCCGGCCGUGGAGUCUAUCACUUGAUCAAUCCUUGGCAGGGCAAAGGGAUCUUUGGGGCAGGCCUUGUUGAGGCUUGUGUAGUCUAUGCACAUGCGCCACUUGUUCUUCUUCUUUAGCACGAGGACCGGGUUGGCGAGCCACUCUGGAAAAAAAACCUCCAUAAUGAAGCCAGCUGCCAGAAGCUGGGCUAUCUCCUCUCCCACAAUCCUUCUUUUCUCCUCCAACAGUCGGCGGAGGGGUUGUUUGACUGGUUUUGCGCCUUCUCGGACGUGUAGCUUGUGCUCGGCGAAUUCCUUCGGAACACCCAGCAUGUCCUUAGGGGACCAUGCAAAGAUAUCCCGAUUCUCGGGGAGGAAGUCGGCGAGCUCGCCUUCCUAUUUGCUGUUUAGGUUUGCCCCGAUAACGGCAAACCUUUCUGGGUGCUCGGGGUCAAGAGGUAUCUUCUUCGUCUCCUUGGCCGGCUGGAAAGAUCCUUGGGCAUCACACACCUUGGGAUCGGAGGACAGGGCCGACUGUUUGCUGGCCAUGGCCACGACUCGGUCCAACAUCUUCUUUUCUUCGGCAGUCACCAGGGACUCGGCCAGCCGGCUGCUGGCUGCAGCGCACUCAGAAGAUUUCUUGUAAUCGCCGGCUAUGGUGAGGAUGCCCUUGGCGCUCGGCAUCUUCAUCUUGAGGUAAGAAUAGUGGGGAACAGCCAUGAACCUGGCCAAGGCAGGACGGCCAAGCAAUGCAUGGUAGGGGCUCUCCAGGUCCACCACUUCAAACCAGAUCGCUUCUUGGCGGAAAUGCUCCUUGUCCCCAAAGAGUACAUCAAUCUUGAUCUUGCCAAUGGGGGCGCAGGACAGGCCAGGUACAAUGCCAUGGAACACAGUUCGAGUAGGCAUGAGUUGCUUCGUCUUGACGUUCAGCUUCUCCAGGGUGUCACGGUACAGGAUGUUGAUGCUGCUCCCGCCGUCUAUCAGCACUCGGGAGAAACGGGCGGCGCGUCUUUCCGUUGCAAGGGUGGCAUCCAAAACCAACGCAUAAGAGCCGGGAGAUGGCAUCACCUCUGGGUGGUCGGCCCGGCUCCAGCUGAUAGGCUUUUCUGACCAGUGCAUGUGCUCGGCGGGGUUGGUAGCGACCAUGUUGACUUCUUGGUGCUCUCGGCGUCCGCUACGCCGGCCUUCGGGCUGGCUUGUAAAGACGAUGUAGGCGGCAUGCUCGUCGGGGAACUCAUCGUGCACAGCUCCGACUGCUGGCCGAGCGGUCAGCGGCUGUGGAGCCGGAGGCGGCGGGCCAGCAGGCGGAGGCGGCGCGAGCCCUUCGCCUUUGGAGAUUCGGGUGAGCCAGUGGCACUUCCGGGUUGUGUGGUUGGACGGCUUCGCACCGCUGUGGAACUUGCAUGGGGCUUCGAGAGUUUGCUCGUAGGAGAAGGCCGGCUGCCAAGCCGGCCUACCGCCCUUCGGCUUCUUGGGUGCGGGCCACCCUUCGGGCUGCUUGUCCUCGACUGUGGCCACCUGCCGGCUAGUGGAGAGCGGCACGGGGCCCUUGCGCUUGUGGUCGUUCUGGUACGAGCGUCAGCCGGAGUCCCCAGCCGGCGUCUUGUGCACCGGGUUGAUUACCUUCCCGGACGCGUCUACCCGGAGUUCAGUCUUCAUUGAGGAGUUGGCGGUGGCGUACUUGUCCGCUAUGACCAGAAGCUCGUCGAGGGUAGUCGGCUCGUCGCAGAGGAGCUUGUGCUUGAGGAGGGUGCCUUCUCGGCAUCCGGCGGUGAAGUAUUCUAUGGCUUGCACCUCGUGCACCCCUUCGCAAGAGUUGCGGAGCUCGGCCCAACGCGUGAGGUAGUCGCGGGUGGACUCGGCGGGGCCUUGUACGCACAAGGAGAGCUGUCGGGGCUUGGGGGCGCGCUUGUAGGUGCUGGUGAAGUUGCAGACGAAGGCCUCCGUGAAGUCUAGCCAGCUAUUGAUGCUGUAGGGCCUGAGGCUAUUGAGCCAGGUCCGCGCCGUGCCUUGCAGCAUGAGGGGCACGUACUUCAUGGCAACGCACCUGUUGCCGUUUGCUAUGCGAACCGCUGUGGAGUAAUCGAUCAACCAAUCUUCCGGCUUCACAAAGCCGUUGUACUUGGGCGUGUCUCUUGGGAGCGAGAACCCUUUGGGGAAAGGCUCGUCGCGGAUGCGGGGGCCGAAGCAAGGUGGGCCGACAUCGUCUUCUUCUUCUAGCGCUAGGGAUCGCGCUAGGCGGUCGAUCCGAUGGCGGGCGUCGUUCUCGCCGACUCCUUCACGGAGACCUAGUCGGCCGCUGAGAGUCGGAUGCGUGACAGGCGGCGGGGUGGGAUAUCUCUCCCCACGAGGCGGAGGCGGAGGCGGGUUGCCCCGCCGCUCCACGGCCCGGGGACGGCCUUCUGCGUCUCGCUCGAUGGAGGUCCGGGUUCGGUUUCGGCUGGCAGCCGGCUCCUUCUCGCGUCGCGCGCGGGUUUUACCCGCAGUCGGCGUCCGGGACGUCGCGCCGUGCUCUCGGCGCGGGGAAGGGCUUUCCGCGCGGGCGUCGGCUUCGUGCCACUCUGCGACUGCAUCGAUUAGUUGCUGGAUGCACCUGGUCAUGUGGGGGAGUUCUUCGGCCCCCAUUCCAUCUAGCUCGUCUACGGCCGCUUGGGCGGCGCGCAGGUUCUCGAGCGGAGUGGCAUAGACUGGGCGGUCGACCCCUAGUGUGUCGGCGAGGGUAGCGCCGCGCUGUCUGACAACGCCGGCUCAGCUUGGCCCGCCUGGGGGCGGCAUGCCAAAGGCGGCGCGGUCGGCUUCACGCUGGUGGGCCUCGGUGAGGCGUCUCAUGGAAGCCAACUUCCGGCCCUCCGCGAGGAGGGCGAGGCGGCGAGCCUCCAGUGCUUCGGCGCCGGCAUCGGCCGGGAGGGGGAUGGACAAAUCGUGGACCGCUGCAUGCGGGGCGUCGAGGGCAUUCUCACCAGAAGCGUAGCCGUGGCCGAUGACCAUCACCUCGGUGGUGGCGCCGUCGCAGCCAUCGGCCCGGGGAAGAGGGUCGUUGUAGAUCGCGACGUUGGUGGGGAAAGCGUCGAGCGAGGCCGUGUCGGAGUCGACAGGCAUCGGAUCGGUGGAGCCAACAGACUCCAAGUCCACAGCAAGCUCGCCGGAGACGUGGAGCUAGCCGAGGAGGUUGACGAGGUGGUCGGUGCCCGCGUCAGAGGUGAGCUCAUCGGAGAUGAGGGUCUUGUCAAGGAGAUCUGCGAGGCUGCUCGCUGCGCAGACGUUGGCGACGCCUUGCACCGCGUCAUGGCAAGCGCCAUCGGGCGUGCCGGGCUGGCUACGCUCGCUGGGGAGGAAGAGGGUUCCCGUCCAGAACAGGUCUCUGGACGACGGUGCACCUGGCCCCAUGGUGGGCGCCAAAUGUCGGGUGGUAGGUGCGACAUAUGCCAAUGGGUGGCUUAUCAUUGUGGGAGCCAGUAAGACGUCGCCGGUGCCUAGAAGCGGGAUGAGGGGAAGACAUGCGCGCCGGCGAAUCUUACCCAGCUUCGGGGCUCUCCGAGGAGAUAACACCCCUACUGCUGCUCUGCGGGGUCUCCGCAUGAUCACUAGAUGAACGAGUGGCUACAAGAUGCUCCUUGAGCUGUUUGGCGAGAGGAAGAAGAAGGGCACGGCUAGCUCUCCUCUCCUCUCUAUGUGGUGUCUAAUACUAGCUCAGAUCAACCCUUUGCAUGGGUGCCCCGGGGGGUUUAUAUAGGCUCACCCCCCGGGGGUAUAAUGGUAAUCCGGCUGGGCGUGGGCCCCGGCCGUCUGUGUCUAUGCUCGCCGACUUCUGCGCCGGCUGCUGGGUCCCGCCGGCUGCCGGCUCCUUGGUCGAUAGGCAGGCCCCACUGUCCAGGGCCUUGUCGGUGGCUGGUUGCUGUAGCUUCAACCUGGUGACGAGGGCUUCGCCGAGGUGGGCGUGGCUACAGUGCCGCCGCCCGGCGGGCGAUUGCUAUAGCCUCACUGCGUCUUGUCUCCUUAAUGGGGCGUUUACUUCGAGGGAGGAGGCGAGCCGGCCGUGGGGAGCCGGCCCCGUCUCGGGCCGACUGGGGGAGGCCUGGCCGCCUUCGGGUGUCUCUCUGCCUGAAGGGGCCCACCGCCCGUGGGCCACGCUGCCAGCCCGUCGUGGGUGACAUCAGGGCCAACAUGGCAACAGUGCCGCGCCGGACGGGUCAUGGCCACCCCGCAGGGCGCACUGUGUCAGGCGUGCUCCGGGAUUCGGGGGUGGCAGGCUUUACUGUAGCCACGCCCCGUCACAUCGCCGUUAUGUGGAUGCAGACUUCGAGGGUACGAUCUUGACCGCUUGGUGGGAGCCGGCCUCUUGGAGUCGGCCUUCUCGUGGCUGGCUUCUUGGAGCCGGCCCUCCCGCGGCUUUCUUCAUGAGGGCUGAAGUCGGGCCGCCUUCCGAUAGUCGGCAUGGGAGACAGCCGGCAAGGGGAAGGCGGCCCCAUGUCUUGGAUUCUUGAGGGCCGGAUCGGCUCAUAAUUUUUUCAGAAGGGACAGGGGGAGCCGGCUAGGCUACCCGUGGUCAUUUACUCUGACACGAGGUGUUCGGCAUCGGGCAGCGGGGGGACUAGGACGCCCCCGGUGCUGAGCCUCCAUCGCCCCGGCGCACGUAUGUUAAGGGGCGCCGGGUAGUUUGCCUCGUGGAGGAGGUGGGCUUCCCACUCGUGCAGAGAGCGACCGCUGAAGCCAUUAGCUGUCGCCUGGAAACCGUUCACCCAUCAGCUGGGCGUGCACGCGGUGGCUAGACGGGGAGUGAGAAAAAAAGAGGACGUCCGCGGCGAGAGAGGGGGGCUGCGGGCGGGUGCAUCCACCGACGAGGGAGNNNNNNNNNNNNNNNNNNNNNNNNNNNNNNNNNNNNNNNNNNNNNNNNNNNNNNNNNNNNNNNNNNNNNNNNNNNNNNNNNNNNNNNNNNNNNNNNNNNNNNNNNNNNNNNNNNNNNNNNNNNNNNNNNNNNNNNNNNNNNNNNNNNNNNNNNNNNNNNNNNNNNNNNNNNNNNNNNNNNNNNNNNNNNNNNNNNNNNNNNNNNNNGGGAGGGGCGCACCACGACACUGCGCCGCCCAUGAGGAAUCAAUGGAAGGCUGAACGGUGGCAGCCUUGGCACUGAUUCCCCGUGGGAAACCGGGGCGAUGAGGACGACGAGGCGCGGGGGUCACUGACUCGACGGGCCUGCUAUUAUUUUGCGCAAAAAACGAUUGCCCCAGCGCCCGCCAGCGUGCCGGGUUCGGCCUAGGUCCGCCGGCGCCAGUUUCAGGCCUAACCGGCAAAAAUUGGGCUCCUGGGGGCAUAACUGGGCCGUUUUUCAGCGCCGAUGCUAAAAAUGGCCUUGGGGGCCUGUUGGGGGCGCGGUUGGAGAUGCUCUAAGCGCAUCUGGAACAAUGACUGAUGUGGAGCAUCCUACGUCUCCUCAAAUGCCAAGUGGACCAUUGGCAUGAGCACGUCCAAGAGCUCUCCAGACCGAGGUGACAUCUCUCCUUAGUGACAUUCUGUAUGACCCACAUGAGACAUGACUACUACCUAAAUUCGGAAUACUAUAUGUGCUUAGGUACCAAGAAGACCCUCUCGGAGAUGCCCGUGAUGAUGGAUAAGUCCCCAAGUACAUGGAUGAAGGAGCAUGACGAGAGGAGCCGGAGAAAGGCCACAAUGAAGGAAAUAUGCCCUAGAGGCAAUAAUAAAGUUGUUAUUUCAUAUUUCCUUAUCCAUGAUACAUGUUUAUUAUUCAUGCUAGAAUUGUAUUGGUCGGAAACCUAAAUACAUGUGUGAAUACAUAGACAAACACGGUGUCCCUAGUGAGCCUCUACUUGACUAGCUCGUUGAUCAAAGAUGGUUAAGGUUUCCUAACCAUGGACAUGAGUUGUUAUUUGAUAACGGGAUCAUAUCAUUAGGAGAAUGAUGUGAUGGACAAGACCCAUCUAUUAGCUUAGCAUAUUGAUCGUUCAGUUUUAUUGCUAUUGCUUUCUUCAUGUCAAAUACAUAUUCCUUCGACUAUGAGAUUAUGCAACUCCCGGAUACUGGAGGAAUGCCUUGUGUGCUAUCAAACGUCACAACGUAACUAGGUGAUUAUAAAGAUGCUCUAUAGGUAUCUCUGAAGGUGUUUGUAGAGUUGGCAUAGAUCAAGAUUAGGAUUUGUCACUCCGAGCAUCGUAGAGGUAUCUCUAGGGCCUCUCGGUAAUACACAUCAUAAGAAGCCUUGCAAGAAAAGUGACUAAUGAGUUAGUUGCACGAUGAUGUAUUACGAAACGAUUAAAGAGACUUGCCGGUAACAAGAUUGAACUAGGUAAGAAGAUACCGAUGAUGAUCUCGGGCAAAUAACAUACCGAUGGACAAAGGGAAUUACAUAUGUUGUCAUAACGGUUAGACCGAUAAAGAUCUUUGUAGAAUAUGUAGGAGCCAAUAUGAGCAUCUAGGUUUCGCUAUUGGUUAUUGACCGGAGAGGUGUCUCGGUCAUGUCUACAUAGUUCUCGAAUCCGUAGGGUCCGCACGCUUAACGUUCAUUGACGAUACAAUGUUAAAUGAGUUAUAUGAUUUGGUGACCGAAUGUUGUUUAGAGUCCCAGAUAUGAUCAUAGACAUGACGAGGAGUCUCAAAAUGGUCGAGAGGUAAAGAUUGAUAUAUAUGAUGAUAGUAUUCGGACACCGGAAGUGUUCCAGAGUAUAUAGGGUAUUUAUCGGAGUACCGAAGGGGUUACCGGAACCCCCGAGGGGAAUAUAUGGGCCAUAUGGGCCAUGAGAGGGGAGCACACCGGCCCACAAGGGGUGGCACGCCCCCUUAUGGCAGGAGGCCGAAUUGGGAGAAGGAAAAAGGGGGUUCGCCCCCCCUUUCCUUUCUCUCUUCCCCCUUCCCUUUCUUCUCCGGUGAAAUAAGGAAGGGGGCGCCACUUGGGGAAACCCCAAGUAGGAUUCAGAUCCUACUUGGGGCGUGCCCUGGCUGCCUCCCCUCUCCCUCCCACCUAUAUAUAUGUGGGGGGCGCCCCUAGCACACCCAAGACAAUUGCCUAGCCGUGUGCGGUGCCCCCUCCACCGUUUACUCCCACGGUCAUAUCUUCGUAGUGCUUAGGCGAAGCCAUGUGCGGAUCACUUCACCAUCACCGUCACCAUGCUGUCGUGCUGAAGGAACUCAUCUACUACCUCGACAUCUUGCUAGAUCAAGAAGGCGAGGGACGCCAUCGAGCUGAACGUGUGCAGAACUCGGAGGUGCCGUACGUUCGGUACUUGAUUGGUCGGAGCUAGAAGAAGUUCGACUACAUCAAUCGCAUUGUCAAACGCUUCCUCUUUCAGUCUACGAGGGUACGUAGACACUCUCCCCCCUCGUUGGUAUGCAUCUCCAUGGAUAGAUCAUUGCGUGUGUGUAGAAUUUUUUUCCAUGCAACGAUUCCCACAGUGGCAUCAUGAGCCAGGUCUAUGCGUAGAUGAUAUGCACGAGUAGAACACAAAGAGUUGUGGGUGGUGAUAGUCAUACUGCUUACCACCGAUGUCUUAUUUUGAUUCGGCAGUGUUGUUGGAUGAAGCGGCCCGGACCAACAUUACAUGUCCACGCACAUGAGACCAGUUCCACCGACAGACAUGCAACUAGUUUUGCAUAAAUGUGGCUGGCGGGUGUCUGUUUCUCCUACUUUAGUUGAAUCGGAUUUGACUGCAACCGGUCCUUGAAGAAGGUUAAAACAACAAACUUGACGAAACACCGUUGUGGUUUGAUGCGUAGGUAAGAAUGGUUCUUGCUAGAAGCCCGUAGCAGCCAGGUAAAACUUGCAGCAACAAAGUAGACGACAUCUAACUUGUUUUUGCAGGUCAUGUUGUGAUGUGAUAUAGAUACAUCUCCAAUGUAUCUAUAAUUUUUUAUUGUUCCAUGCUGUUAUAUUAUCAUUCCUGGAUGUUUUAUAAUCAUUUUUUGGGACUAACCUAUUAACAUAGUGCCAAGUGCCAAUUGCUAUUUUUGCAUGUUUUUUACAUCGCAGGAAAUCAAUAUCAAACGGAGUCCAAACACCGGGAAACAUUUUGGAGAUCUUUUAUGGACCAGAACACUGAGGAUGUGCCAGAGCAGCACCUGGGGGGGUGCCCCGAGGGGGGCACAACCCACCAGGGCGCGCCCAGGUGGGUUGUGCCCACCUCGGUGGCCUCCCGCACCCCCUCUUUACCCUAUAAAUUUUAGAAACCCUCGGGGUUAACCCGGAUCAGAAGUUCUGCCGCCGCAAGGCUCUGUAGCCAUCAAAAACCAAUCUAGACCCCGUUCCAGCACCCUGUCGGAGGGGGGAAUCAUCUCCGGUGGCCAUCUUCAUCAUCCCGGCGACCACCAGAUGAGGAGGGAGUAGUCCACCCUCGGGGCUGAGGGUUUGUACUAGUAGCUAUGUGUUUAAUCUCUCUCUCUCUCUCUCUCUCUCUCUCGUGUUCUUGAGAUGUCACGAUCUUGAUGUAUCGCGGGCUUUGUUAAUAUAGUAGGAUCAUAUGGUGUUUCCCCCUCUCUAUCUUGUUGUGAUGAAUUGAGUUUUUCCCUUUGAGAUUUCGUUGUUAUUGGAUUGAAUACUUUUAUGGAUUUGAGAGCACUCGAUAUAUGUCUUGCAUAUGAAUACUCGUGGUGACAAUGGGGUAUAUAUUGAUUCACUUGAUAUGUGUUUUGGUAUUCAACUUGCGGAUUCCCGCGGUGACAUUGGGGUAAUCUAUGCAUAGGGGUUGGUGCACGUUCUCGUCUUUUGUUUCUCCGAUAGAAAUCUUGGGGCACUCUUUGAGGUUCUUUGUGUUGGAUUGAGCAUUAUGAAUCUGAAAUUAUUUGGUGUUAUUUUAGUACGAACUCUUGGAUAGAUCGAUCAGAAAGAUAGCUUUGAGGUGGUUUUGUACCCUACAAACAAUUUCGUCUUAUGUUCUCCAGGAACUUCGGAGUGAUUCUUCAUUGCACGUUGAGGGACGGUUAUAUGAUCCAGUUAUAUUAGCACCGUUGAGAGAUUGCACUAGCGAAAGUACGGACCCUAGGCCUCAUUUUCAAGCAUUGCAAUACCGUUUUUGUGCACGUUUACUAUUUGCUACCUUGCUGUUUUUAUUUAUUCAGAUUAUAAAAAUAUAUUUCUAGCAUCCAUAUUACACUUUUAUCACCAUCUCUUCGCCGAACUAGUGCACCUAUACAAUUUGCCAUUGUAUUGGGUGUGUUGGGGACACAAGAGAUUUCUUGUAUUUGGUUGCAGGGUUGUUUGAGAGAGACCAUCUUCAUCCUGCACCUCUCAUGGAUUGAUAAACCUUAGGUCAUCCACUUGAGGGGAAAUUUCUACCGUCCUACAAAACUCUGCGCUUGGAGGCCCAACACGUGUCUACAAGAAUAAAGUUGCAUAGUAGACAUCAAGCUCUUUUCUGGAGCCGUUGCCGGGGAGGUGAGUGCAUGAAGGUAUAUCUUUAGACCAUGCAAUCGAAUCUUUUAGUUUCUUGUUUAUAUCACUAGUUUGGUUUAUAAAAAAAUGGAAUUGAGGUUGCAUCAUAUUAUUCAUCUUUAUAAUGUCUUUCGUGAAAAUGAUGGAAAGGAAAAUUGUGCUCAAUUGAUAUAAGAAUAAUUCAAUAGAAUGUUUGGUAUAAAAUGAUGAGCAUGAUUGCAAUGUGUUAGUAUGAAUUCUUUGAAUAUCUAUGAUGCUAAUGAUAUGCAAAGCCGUAAGCUUGGGGAUGCUAUGUUUGAUGAAGAUGAUAUUUUUACUCCCCCAAGAUUUGAUGUGCAAAUUUGUUAUAAUGAUUGCAUGCCUCCUAUUUAUGAUGAUUAUAAUGAUGAAAGUGGAUUUGGAGAGGUCAUUACUUUAUUUAGUGAUGAAUCCACCAUUUUGAAUGAGGCUUCAAUUGACUAUGAUAACAAAGUUGCUAUCUAUGAUGAUUAUGGUGAUGACAUGUAUGCUAUAAAGAAUAAUGAUAACCAUGAAACUUGUCAUCAUGAUUUUAAUUUUCACUCUCAAGGUAGUUAUUUUGUUGAGUUUGCUCCCACUACUAUCGAUGAGAAGAAAUUUGCUUAUGUGGUGAGUAAUAAGUUUUCUAUGCUUUUGUGUCAUGAAAAGAAUGCUUUAUGUGAUGGUUAUAUUGUUUAAUUUCUUCAUGAUUCUACUAAAAAUUAUUAUGAGGGGGGAACUUAUGCUUGUAGGAAUUGCAAUAAUAUCAAGUUUCCUCUCUAUGUGUGGAAAGUUUUGAAGUUAUGCUUGUUUUGCCUUUCUAUGCUAGUUGAUUCUGGUUCCCAUAAGUUGUUUGCUCAAAAAAUCCCUAUGCAUAGGAACAUAGUUAGGCUUAAAUGUGCUUGCCAUGUGUUUCAUGAUGCUCUUGUUAUAUUUCAAUUCUUAUCUUUUAUGCGAGCAUCAUUGAAAUAAUCAUGCCUAGCUAAAAGGCAUUAAAAAAAAGCGCUUGUUGGGAGACAACCCAACACUUUUACCUACUGUUUUUGUAUGUUCACAUGAUUAGGCUACUGUAGUAAUCAUGUUUUAUUGCUUUAGGUUCAAUAAAGUGCCAAGUAAGACCUUUGGGAUGGCUUACGGUGAUAGUUGAUUUGAUCUUGCUGAAAAACAGAAACUUUGGCUCUCAGAAAAAAAAAUCUCAUUUUUAACAGAAGCGUGAUAAAAUUCUGAUUCUUUUUGAAGAAGAUUAAUAGAAAAUUUUCCCAGGUUUACUAUUUUGUAAGAAAUUUUGGAGUAGUAUAAAUAUGGUUGGAGUACAGAGUACUACAGACUGUUCUGUUUUUGACAGAUUCUGUUUUCAAUGCAUAGUUUGCUUGUUUUCUAAUUUCCAUGGCUUAUAUUGCUCAAUAUAAAUUGUCGGAAUGAUAUGCUACAGUAGGCAUUGUGUGAGAACAAUUAUGAAUCUUGUCUUUGACAGUAACAAAAGUGAAAUGGUUUGCUCUUUAUCAUACUAACCUAUCUCACAAAGUUUCGUUAAGUUUUGUGUGAUUGAAGUUUUCAAGUUUUGGGUGAGAUAUCCAUAUGAGGAGAAUAAGGAGUGACAAGACCCUAAGCUUAGCGAUUCCCAAGAGACCCCCAAGUUAAUAUCCAAUGAAUAUCCGAGCAAGUAAGCUUGGGGAUGCCCAAGAAGGCAUCCCCUCUUUCGUCUCCAACAUUAUCGGUAACCUCACUUGGAGCUAUGUUUUCGCUCGUCACAUGAUAUGAGUUUUGCUUGGAGUGUAAUUUUAUUUUAUUUGUAUUUGCUUUCUGUUGUUUAGUUUAAUAUUUUGCAUCUUUAUUUUCAAUAAAAAUAUCAAGUAUAGCCUUUGCCAUGCUUAUUUUGCAAGUCUACAUGUUGCUGUUUCAAAACAGAAAGUUUAUCGAUGUUGCAAAAAUUCCCUAGAAAAGUCAGUAUGUGAUAAAAUGUUGAAACUUUUGCAAAAUAAGAUCUGAUAAAUUUUCUACAGUGUGGUAAAUUUUCAUAAUCUUUGGAGUUUAAUAAGUAUUGAUACUCUUGCAUUCUUUACAGACUGUACUGUUUUGGCAGAUUGCUGUUAUGUUUGCAUUGUUUGCAUAUGUUUUGCUUGUUUAAUGAUUCUAUUUGAGGAUAGGAGUAUUAAAUAAGCAUAGGAAUUUAGUAUGAAAUGUUGAAUAAUAAUUUUAGUGAUUUUCUAUAGUAGAGAAUGAUAAGGUUUUUGCAUUGGUUUAUACUAAUUUAUCUCACGAGUUCUUGUUGAGUUUUGUGUGGAUGAAGCUUUUGAGAUUUAGGAAAACCGUGAUAUGGGAAGAAUUAAGGAGACACAAAAGCUCAAGCUUUGGGAUGCUCAAGGAAUCCCAAGAUAAUAUUUCAAGAACACUCAAGCAUCAAAUCUUGGGGAUGCCCUGGUAGGCAUCCCACCUUUCUUCUUCAACAAUUAUCGGUUAGUAUCGGUUGAGCCUAAGUUUUUGCUUCUUCACACGAUGUGUGCUAUUCUUAGAAUGCCAUUUUAUUUUUUUUGCUUGCUGUUUUAAUAAAAUACUUAGAUUUGAAAGUUUUUAAAUAAAAUAGAGUCCUCAAAUAGUUGCCAGGGAGGCUAGGUAAGCGACAUUCACAUCCCGUCAACGAAGCUCUUUGUAUAUGGAAUUGCACUAAUGCUUUACUUAUAUCUUUUUGAGCACGGUGUGCUUUAGUAUUUUUGAAGAAAUCCUCUCUUGCUUAACUUAAAUUAAUUUGAGAGAAGGAAAUAUUAUGCUCAUGAUCUUCACUUAUAUUUGUUUGAUCUUAUCAAAAGCAACACAUGAAAAUUAGUCCCAAAGUGAUAGAUAUACAAGAAGAUAUAAUAAAAACUUUCAUGAAGAUCAUUGGACAAAAUAAACUUGAUUCCUCGUAAUAGUUUUGAGAUAUGAUGAUGUGAUAUGUGAGUCAUGUUGAUGAUUAAUUAUGCUUUAGUAAGAAUAUUGGUGUUAAGGUUUGUGAUUUCCUAUGCAAGCACGAAAGUCAAUAGUUGUGUAAUGAAACUACAUCCUACUUGUGGUGCAUUAUUCGGUGUUAAUUAUGCUCAAUGCUCGCUUAUGAGAUUAUUCGUUUCUUGGUUGGUCGCUGCUCAAUCUUUUGCUAGCCUUCACUUUGCACUAAGUAUGAUCACUACUUGUGCAUCCAAAAUCCUUUAAACAAAUUUUGCCACAUGAGUCCACUAUACCUACCUAUAUGCGGUAUUCUUUUACCGUUGGAAGCAAAUUUGUAUGUGCCAUCUCUAAUUUCAAAAUAAAUUUCUCUUUUGUGUGCUCGUACCGCUCGCGAGGCAGUGAGGGGUGGCCAAUAUUUUCCAUGCUAGAUGUGUUAUUCUCACGAUGAGUGUUUAUUCACUUGUCAUUGCACGAGAGUAAGGCAGGGAUGCCCAGUCCUGAAAUGAAAAAUGAAUUUACUUUAUGUUGUCAAAUAAUAAAUUCCUUGGAAAGUGUUGGUAUGGAGGGCACCAGUGGAUAUGGUUAGCCAUGGAAAUUGAAAGUAUGGUGGAAAAAGGAACAAACUUUAUUUUCUGUUCGGGAACCGCCUAUGAUAUAUCUAGCAUGGAAAGUGUUGGGAGCUCUAAGUCAUUUUCGUUGGUGGGAAAACUAUGCCUCUCAAAAUGUUUUUAUCUCUCAAUUUUCGCUUUGGGCUCUGGCACCUCUACAAAUCACUACUUCCCUCUAUGAAGGGCCUUUCUUUUACUUUAUGCAAUUUUUAUUUUUAAUUUGAGUGUCCAUCUUCUCUUAUAAAGAACCAACUAGGGGGCACUAUGGUCGUACUUGAGCAUUGGGUGUAGCUAAUAUGCGAGUGUGUUUCAUGAAUGGAUCAAUGAUUGAGCAUGAUGGGCUAGGGAUAGCUUAUUUUCGCGUUGAUAUUUUGAAAGACAUGGUUGCUUGUUGAUAUGCCUGAGUAUUUAAGUUAUCAUGUCAAAACUAGACUAUAGCUUCGAACAAUAUAAAAGUCAAAAUGUCCAUGCUAUAAAGAAAAGAAUAUAGAUGACAUGUUAGGCAACAUUCCACAUCAAAAAUUCUAUUUUUUAUCAUUUACCUACUCAAGGACGAGCAUGAAUUAAGCUUGGGGAUGCUGAUACGUCUCCAACGUAUCUAUAAUUUGUUAUUGUUCCAUGCUGUUAUAUUAUCAUUCUUGGAUGUUUCAUAAUCAUUUUAUAUCUUUUUUGGGACUAACCUAUUGACAUAGUGCCAAGUGCUGUUUUUGCAUGUAUUUUACAUCGCAGGAAAUCAAUAUCAAACGGACUCCAAACGCCGUGAAACUUUUUAGAGAUUUUUUGUGGACCAGAACACCCAGGAUGGGCCAGAGCAGCACCAGGGGGGGUUGCCCCGAGGGGGGCACAACCCACCAGGGCACGCCUGGGGGCUGAGGCGCGCCCAGGUGGGUUAUGCCCACCUCGGUGGCCUCCUGCACCCACUCUUUACCCUAUAAAGUCCCAAAAUUCCAGAAACCCUCGGGGUUAACCUAGAUCAUAAGUUCCACCGCCGCAAGGCUCUAUAGCCACCGAAAACCAAUCUAGACCCCAUUCCGGCACCCUGCCGCAGGGGGGAAUCAUCUCCGGUGGCCAUCUUCAUCAUCCCGGCGGCCACCACGAUGAGGAGGGAGUAGUCCACCCUCGGGCUGAGGGUUCUUACUAGUAGCUAUGUGUUUAAUCUCUCUCUCUCUCGUCUUGAGAUGUCAUGAUCUUGAUGUAUCGUGGGCUUUGUUAAUAUAGUUGGAUCAUAUGGUGUUUUCCCCUCUCUAUCUUGUUGUGAUGAAUUGAGUUUUUCCCUUUGAGAUUUCGUUGCUAUCAGAUUGAAUACUUUUAUGGAUUUGAGAGCACUUGAUAUAUGUCUUGCAUAUGAAUACUUGUGCUGACAAUGGGGUAUAUAUUGAUUCACUUGAUAUGUGUUUUGGCAUUCAACUCGCGGAUUCCCGCGGUGACAUUGGGGUAAUCUAUGCAUAGGGGUUGGUGCAUGUUCUCAUCUUCUGUUUCUCCGGUAGAAAUCUUGGGGCACUCUUUGAGGUUCUUUGUGUUGGAUUGAGCAUUAUGAAUCUGAAAUUAUUUGCUGCUAUUUUAGUAUGAACUCUUGGAUAGAUCGAUCGGAAAGAAUAGCUUUGAGGUGGUUUUGUACCCUACAAACAAUUCCGUCUUAUGUUCUCUGCUAGAUAGGAACUUUGGAGUGAUUCUUCAUUGCACGUUGAGGGACGGUUAUAUGACCCAAUUAUAUUAGCACUGUUGAGAGAUUGCACUAGCGAAAGUACGGACCCUAGGCCUCAUUUUCAAGCAUUGCAAUACUAUUUUUGUGCCCGUUUACUAUUUGCUACUUGCUGUUUUUAUUUAUUCAGAUUAUAAAAAUAUAUGUCUACCAUCCAUAUUACACUUUUAUCACCAUCUCUUCGCCGAACUAGUGCACCUAUACAAUUUUCCAUUGUAUUGGGUGUGUUGGGGACACAAGAGAUUUCUUGUAUUUGGUUGCAGGGUCGUUUGAGAGAGACCAUAUUCAUCCUACACCUCUCACGGAUUGAUAAACCUUAGGUCAUCCACUUGAGGGAAAAUUUCUACCGUCCUACAUAACUCUGCACUUGGAGGCCCAACACAUGUCUAUAAGAAUAAAGUUGCAUAGUAGACAUCAGAUAUGGUCAAGGAAUGAUGUGAUAUACGUUAUUGUAUGAGAUGAUCAUGUUUUGUAAAAUUUAUCGGCAACUGACAUGAGCCUUAUGGUUGUCUCUUUAUUGUAUGAAAUGCAAACGCCAUAUAAUUGCUUUACUUUAUCACUAUGCAUUAGCGAUAGUUGUAGAAGCAAUAGUUGGUGAGACGACCAUGACGCAAUGAUGGAGAUCAUGGUGUCGAGCCGGUGACAAAGGAGAUCAUGACGAUGCUUUGGAGAUGGAGAUCGAAAGCACAAGAUGAUGAUGGCCAUAUAAUGUCACAUAUUUUGAUUGCAUGUGAUGUUUAUCUUUUGUACAUCUUAUUUUGCUUAGUACGGCAGUGGCAUUCUAAAAUGACCCUUUAACUAAAUUUCAAGGUAAAAGUGUUCUCCCUGAGUAUGCACCAUUGCUACAGUUCGUCGUGUUGAGACACCACGUGAUGAUCGGGUGUGAUAGACUCUACGUUCACAUACAACGGGUGCAAGACAAUUUUGCACAUGUGGAAUACUUAGGUUAAACUUGACGAGCCUAGCAUGUACAAACAUGGCCUCAGAACACUGGAGACCGAAAGGUCGUAAGUGAAUCAUAUAGUAGAUAUGAUCAACAUAGAGAUGUUCACCAUUAAUGACUACUCCAUCUCACGUGAUGAUUGGACAUGGUUUAGUUGAUUUGGAUCACAUAUCAUUUAGAUGACUUGAGGGAUGUCUAUCUAAGUGGGAGUUCUUAUGUAAUUUGAUUAAUUGAACUUAAUUUAUCAUGAACUUAGUCCUGAUAGUUUUUGCAUAUCUAUGUUAUAGAUCAAUGGCCCGUGCUAUUGUUCCCCUGUAUUUUAGUGCGUUCCUAGAGAAAGCUAAGUUGAAAGAUGAUGGUAGCAACUACAUGGACUGGGUUUGUAACUUGAGGAUUAUCCUCAUUGCUGCACAAAAGAAUUAUGUCCUUCAUGCACCGCUAGGUGAAAGGCCUGCUGCAGGAGCAGAUGCUGAUGAUUUGAACGUGUGGCAAGCUCGAUCUGAUGACUGCUCGAUAGUUCAGUGUGCCAUGCUUUACGGCUUACAAUCGGGACUUCAAAGACAUUUUGAAAGUGAUGGACCAUAUGAGAUGUUUCCAGGAGUUGAAGUUAAUAUUUCAAGCAAAUGCCCAAGUUGAGAGAUAUGAAGUCUUCAACAAGUUCUAUAGCUGCAAGAUGGAGGAGAACAGUUCUGUCAGUGAACACAUACUAAAAAUGUAUGGGUAUCAUAAUCGCUUGACUCAGCUAGGAGUUAAUCUUCCAGAUGAUAGUGUUAUUGAUAGAGUUCUUCAAUCAUUGCCACCAAGCUACAAAGGCUUCAUGAUGAACUAUAAUAUGCAAGGGAUGGAGAAGACAAUUCCCGAGCUCUUUGCAAUGCUCAAAGCUGCGGAGGCAGAAAUCAAGAAGGGGCAUCAAGCAUUGAUGGUUAACAAGACCACUAGUUUUAAGAAAAAGGGCAAGGGAAAGAAAGGGAACUUCAAGAAGAAUGGCAAGCAAGUUGCCACUCCCGGGAAGAAGCCCAAAGCUGGACCCAAGCCUGAAACUGAGUGCUUCUACUGCAAAGGGACUGGUCACUGGAAGCGAAACUGCCCCAAGUAUUUGGCGGAUAAGAAGGAUGGCAAAGUCAACAAAGGUAUAUUUGAUAUACAUGUUAUAGAUGUGUACCUUACUAAUGCUCGUAGUAGCGCCGGGUAUUUGAUACUGGUUCGGUUGCUCAUAUUUGUAACUCGAAACAUGAGCUAUGGAUUAAACGAAGAUUUGCUAAGGAUGAGGUGACAAUGCGCGUGGGGAAUGGUUCCAAGGUCGAUGUGAUUGCCGUCGGCACGCUACCUUGAUAAUCCCCAAGUGUAGGGAAUCAUCGUAGCAAUUCCCAAUGGUGGAAGUGAUAAGUAUGGAGUGUCGAACCCACAAGGAGCUAAAGGUAAGAUCAAUAUUCUCUCAAGUCCUAUCUGCCUCUGAUACGACUCUACGUACACCGAACGUUUGCUUCCAACUAGCAACGAGAAAUAAACUAUGUUGUGGGUAUGAAGUGGAUAACUUUGCAUGAUAUCGGAGAGCUAAAAUAUGAAAGUAGGUGUUGUUAUCAUAAAGUUAGAAUAUAUUACUAAACAUUAUAAAUAGCGAGUGUGGAAUAAUGGUGGAUCGGUGCGGAAUUGUCCUAGGCAAUUAUUAACAAGACCGAUAGUCGUCAUUGCAAUUUCAUAUGAGGGAGAGGCAUAAGCUAACAUACUUUCUCUUCUUGGAUCAUAUGCACUUAUGAUUGGAACUCUAGCAAGCAUCCGCAACUACUAAAGAUCAUUAAGGUAAAACCCAACCAUAGCAUUAAAGCAUCAAGUCCCCUUUAUCCCAUAUGCAACAAUCCCCUUACUCGGGUUUAUGCUUCUGUCACUCACGCAACCCACUAUAAGAGAAUCAUGAACGUAUUGCAACACCCUACAACGGGAAUCCCUCACGCUUGCGCGACACGGAGGGCACAAUAGGACAACACCAAAAUAAAACAUACAACUCGUACCAAUCUAGAUCAUCAAUCAACCCAAAGACAAAAGAUAUCUACUCAAAACAUCAUAGGAUGGCAACACAUCAUUUGAUCAUAACAUGUGGCAUAAAGCACCAUGUUCAAGUAGGGAUUAUAGCGGGGUGCGGGAGAGUGGACUGCGUAAAAGAGAUGACGAUGGUGAUGAUGAUGGUGAUGUUGAUGAAGACGAUCACCGCAACGAUGAUUCCCCUCUCGAUGGCACUCCGGUGCCACCAAGAGAGAGGAGGAGAGGUUCUUCCCCUUGUGCUUCCUCCUCCAUGGCCUCCCCCCUGGAUGGGGAGAGGUUCCCCCUCUGGUCCUUGGCCUUCAUGGUGAUGAUGGCCCCUCCGAGAUCCUCCUCCAUGCCCUCUGGUGAUGAUGGCCCCUCCGGCAGGGUGCUGGAGAGGGACUAGAUUGGUUUUCGGUGGCUACGGAGGCUUCUGGCGGUGGAACUCCCGAUCUAGGUUAAUUUUCGGAGGUUUCUAUAUUUAUAGGAGAAGUCAGCGUUGAUUUCACGUCAGGGGGCCCCACAGGAAGUCCACGAGCAGGGGGCGCACCCCAGGGGGAUGGGCGCGCCCCCCACCCUCGUGGGUCCCCCAUGACCCCCCUUCAGUGGAUUUUUGUUCCAGUAUUUUUCAUAUUUUCUAGAAAAAAUCUCCGUUGAUUUUCAUCGUAUUCCGAGAACUUUUAUUUCUGCACAAAAACAACACCACGGUAGUUCUGCUAAAAACAACGUCAGUCCGGGUUAGUUCUAAUCAAAUCAUACCAAAAUCAUAUAAAAAUAUUGUAAACAUGUCAUGAAUACUUCAUAAAUUAUAGAUACGUUGGAGACGUAUCAGCAUCCCCAAGCUUAAUUCCCGCUCGUCCUCGAGUAGGUAAAUGAUAAAAGAAAUAAUUUAUGAAGUGUGAAUGCAAGCAAGUGCACAAGUUUGAUCCAUGAUAGUUCCAAUCACUUUUUCUAGCAUCAUUAUAUAUCAUAACAGUAGCUUAUUUUCAUAAAAGUUUUCAUGAUCAAGUAACAAGCUAUUCACAUGUUAAAGUAUAGAUCAUAAACUUUCUUGAAACUAACAAACUAUAUUCUUAGUCAUCAAACAAUUGCAAUUCAUCUUAUUUUCAGGAAGGGUCUAUAUCAGAGCUUUGAUUUAGCAAACUCCACAUACUCAACUAACAUUUAAUCUUUCACAAUUGCCAACACUCACACGAUAUUUAUGGGUUCAAAGUUUUAAUCGGGCACAGAGAAAGAUAGGGGCUUAUAGAUUUGCCUCCCAACCUUUUACCUCAAGGGUAAUGUCAACAAUAAUAGUUCAUGAUAACUUACAUCCAAUUGGAUAUAUAUACAUCAGGAUCUUUCCAACACAAUGUGCUUGCCAAAGGAUAAAAUGUAAAAAGGAAAGGUGAAGAUCACCAUGACUCUUGCAUAAGGGUAGAAGAUAAAAGUAAAAGAUAGGCCCUUCGCAAAGGGAAGCAGAGGUUGUCAUGCGCUUUUAUGGUUGGAUGCACAAAAUCUUAAUGUAAAAGAACGUCACUUUAUAUUGCCACGUGUGAUAUGGACCUUUAUUAUGCAGUCCAUCGCUUUUAUUUCUUCCACAUCACAAGAUCGUAUAAAGCUUAUUUUCUCCACAUUAAUAGAUCAUACAUAUUUAGAGGGCAAUUUUUAUUGCAUGCACCGAUGACAACUUACUUGAAGGAUCUUACUCAAUCCAUAGGUAGGUAUGGUGGACUCUCAUGGCAAAACUGGUUUAAGGAAUGUUUGGAAGCACAAGUAGUAUCUCUACUUGGUGCAGAGAAUUUGGCUAGCAUGAGUGGGAAAAGCAAGCUCAACAUGUUGGAUGAUCCAAGACAAUAUACUUUAUUUCGGAUAUAAGAAAACAUAACCCAUUAUGUUGUCUUCCUUGUCCGACAUCAACCAUUUAGCAUGUCAUAUUUUAAUGAGUGCUCACAAUUACAAAAGAUGUCCAAGAUAGUAUAUUUAUAUGUGAAAUCUCUCUUCCUUCAAUAUUCUUUCAUGAAUUGUUCAAGUGACCAAUUCAACGUUUGCUAACUUUCAAUAAGUUUACUACCUAUACUUAUUCUGUGUGAAGUCAUUACUCCCCAUGGUAUAAGCAUAUGAAACAUAUAUAGAUUCAGAUUUAUGAUAUUCAAUUCAUUCAACCAUUUACUCAUAGGAUAUAUGUGAAGCACAUGAGUAAAUGACAAACUACUCCAAAAAGAUAUAAGUGAAGGACAUUGAGUAGUCAAAUAAUUAACUAGCCAUGGGAGGGUUCUUUUUCAUUUAAGAUUUCAGAUCCAAUGAUUUUAUUCAAACUGCAAGUAAAAUUGAAAAUACACUCCAAGAAAAACACAUAUCAUGUGACGAAUAAAAAUAUAGCUCCGAGUAAGGUAUACCGAUAGUUUUUGAAGACGAAAGAGGGGAUGCCUUUCCGAGACAUCCCCAAGCUUAGGCGCUUGAGUCUUCCUUGAAUAUUACCUUGGGGUUCCUUGGGAAUCCCCAAUCUUAGGGUCUUUCCACUCCUUAGUCUCCUCAAAUCGAUAUCUCACCCAAAGCUUGAAAACUUCAAUCAUACAAAACUUAACGGAACUUUGUGAGAUAGGUUAGUAUGAUAAAGAGUAAACCAUUCACUUUGGUACUGUCAAAGACAAGGCUCAUAAUUGUUCUCACACAAUGCCUACUGUACCAUAUCAUCUCUACAAUUUAUAUUGAGAAAUAUAAGCCAUAGGAACUAGAAAACAAGCAAACUAUGCAGUGAGAACAGAAUCUGUCAGAAACAGAACUGUCUGUAAUGGUCUGAACACUAACCAUACUUCUGCAACUAAAACAAUUAUUAAAUAAAUUGGUGGAAGUGAGGAAUUUUCUAUUAAUCUUCUGCAAAAAGAAUCAGCACCAAAGCACUCUUCUGUAAAAAAAUGGCAGCUAAUCUCGUGAGCGCAAAGUUUCUGUUUUUUACAGCAAGAUCACAUUAACUUUCACCCAAGUCUUCCAAAGGUCUUACUUGGCACUUUAUUGAAACAAAAGCUAUAAUACAUGCUUAAUAUAGUAGCUUAUCAUGAGAACACACAAAAAUAGUAAAGGUAAAUAUUGGGUUGUCUCCCAACAAGCACUUUUAUUUAAUGCCUUUUAGCUAGGCAUGAUGAUUUCAAUGAUGCUCACAUAAAAGAUAAGAAUUGAAACAUAAAGAGAGCAUCAUGAAGAAUAUGACUAGCAUAUUUAAAUCUAACCCACUUCCUAUGCCUAGGGAUUUUGUGAGCACAUAAUUUAUAGGAACAAGAAUCAACUAGCAUAGGAAGGCAAAACAAGUAUAACUUCAAAACUUUAAGCACAUAGAGAGGAAAAUUGAUAUUAUUACAACUCCUACAAGCAUAUAUUCCUCCCUCAUAAUAAUUUUUAGUAGCAUCAUGAAUGAAUUCAACAACAUAACCAUCACAUAAAGCAUUCUUUUCAUGAUCUACAAGCAUAGAAAUUCUCUCCAAAUAAGCAAAAUUCUUCUCAUUCGGAAUAGCGGGAUCACUAGUUCCUAAAGUUGACACUCUUCCAAAUCCACUUUAGAUGAUAGUAUUAUUCAUACUCCAAAAGAUAUAAGUGAAGUUCAUGGAGCAUUCUACAAUUAAUAUAAACUAACCAAUAUCCAAGCUCAAAAUGUAUAAGUGAAGCACAUGAAGCAUUCUAUAAAUUGAUGAAGGGACAUUCUCAUACUAGCAUGGUUCUUAAAGAAAAAUAAAAACAC